rnacentral:lncRNA from 1 species
CAGCCAGAAGAUGUGUUCUUUCAUUUCCAAGCUUGAAUCUUCUCUGCUGUUGAAGACUGAUAGUGAAAGGCUUGCAGUCACAGUUGGUUUGAAGGUAUCUUUGAUAUAGUCCACUCAAAGCAGUAACCAGAUACUUCCAUAGUGGAAACAAAGAGCUGCCACAGAAAGCACACACUUCACUUGAUCAACUCGUCAGGGGUGGUAAUUUCAAAGAGGGCCACUAACAACCUUAUAAUCUGAGAUUAAAGGCUUUUUUUUUCUAUCACCUCUUAAAGUUAUCAAACCAGAAAUUCAGCUAUGGCUCAACUGUGCAUAGUUUGGAGUUUUUGGCGAUGGGGAGGUGUCCCCAUUCUGACAUGACAGCACAGAGAUUGC